rnacentral:rRNA from 1 species
ACCGGCAGCUCAAGUGGUGGCCAUUUUUAUUGGGCCUAAAGCGUUCGUAGCCGGUUUGAUAAGUCUCUGGUGUACUCCCGCAGCUAAACUGUGGGACUUGCUGGAGAUACUAUUAGACUUGAGGUCGGGAGAGGUUAGGGGUACUCCCAGUGUGUUUGUGAAAUCAUCUCGUUUUGGGAGGACCACCUGUGGCGAAGGUGCUUUGUUGGAACGAACUUUAUUGUGAGUAACGAAAGCCAGGGGCGCGAACCU